rnacentral:rRNA from 1 species
AGUGAACGCUGGCGGCAGGCCUAAUACAUGCAAGUCGAACGGCAGCACAGCAGAGCUUGCUCUGUGGGUGGCGAGUGGCGGACGGGUGAGGAAUACAUGGGAAUCUGCCCAGUCGUGGGGGAUAACGUAGGGAAACUUACGCUAAUACCGCAUGCGCCCUUCGGGGGAAAGCCGGGGACCUUCGGGCCUGGCGCGAUUGGAUGAGCCCAUGUCGGAUUAGCUAGUUGGCGGGGUAAUGGCCCAACAAGGCGACGAUCCGUAGCUGGUCUGAGAGGAUGAUCAGCCACACUGGAACUGGGACACGGUCCAGACUCCUACGGGAGGCAGCAGGAGGGAAUAUUGGGCAAUGGGCGAAAGCCUGACCCAGCGACGCCGCGUGGGUGAUGAAGGCCUUCGGGUUGUAAAGCCCUUUCGUGCGGAAAGAACAGCCCUGUAGCUAAUAUCUGCAGGGUUUGACGGUACCGCAGGAAGAAGCACCGGCUAACUCCGUGCCAGCAGCCGCCGUAACAC